rnacentral:rRNA from 1 species
GACGAACGCUGGCGGCGUGCUUAACACAUGCAAGUCGAACGAUGAACCCGGAGCUUGCCCCGGUGGAUUAGUGGCGAACGGGUGAGUAACACGUGAGUAACCUGCCCUUGACUCUGGGAUAACUGCGGGAAACUGUAGCUAAUACCGGAUACGACCCUCGGCGGCAUCGCCAGGGGGUGGAAAGAAUUUCGGUCAGGGAUGGACUCGCGGCCUAUCAGCUAGUUGGUGAGGUAACGGCUCACCAAGGCGACGACGGGUAGCCGGCCUGAGAGGGUGACCGGCCACCCUGGGACUGAGACACGGCCCGGACUCCUACGGGAGGCAGCAGUGGGGAAUAUUGCACAAUGGGCGCAAGCCUGAUGCAGCAACGCCGCGUGAGGGAUGACGGCCUUCGGGUUGUAAACCUCUUUUAGUAGGGAAGAAGCGAAAGUGACGGUACCUGCAGAAGAAGCACCGGCUAACUACGUGCCAGCAGCCGCAGUAA